GACGAACGCUGGCGGCGCGCCUAACACAUGCAAGUCGAACGGACGAGAGGGAGCUUGCUCCUUCAAGUUAGUGGCGGACGGGUGAGUAACACGUGAGCAACCUACCUAUCAGAGGGGGACAACAGUUGGAAACGACUGCUAAUACCGCAUGAUGUAUCGAGGGGGCAUCCCUUUGGUACCAAAGAUUUUAUCGCUGAAAGAUGGCCUCGCGUCUGAUUAGAUAGUUGGUGGGGUAACGGCCUACCAAGUCGACGAUCAGUAGCCGGACUGAGAGGUUGACCGGCCACAUUGGGACUGAGAUACGGCCCAGACUCCUACGGGAGGCAGCAGUGGGGAAUAUUGGGCAAUGGACGCAAGUCUGACCCAGCAACGCCGCGUGAAGGAAGAAGGCUUUCGGGUUGUAAACUUCUUUUAUCAGGGAAGAGUAGAAGACGGUACCUGAUGAAUAAGCCACGGCUAACUACGUG
rnacentral:rRNA from 1 species